rnacentral:tRNA from 1 species
GGAGAGGUGGCGGAGCGGCUGAACGCGCCGGUUUCGAAAACCGGUUGGCUCUUUUUGAGUCACGGGGGUUCGAAUCCCCCCCUCUCCG